rnacentral:rRNA from 1 species
UACCAGCACCCCGAGUGGUCGGGACGUUUAUUGGGCCUAAAGCAUCCGUAGCCGGUUCUACAAGUCUUCCGUUAAAUCCACCUGCUUAACAGAUGGGCUGCGGAAGAUACUAUAGAGCUAGGAGGCGGGAGAGGCAAGCUGUGCUCGAUGGGUAGGGGUAAAAUCCGUUGAUCCAUUGAAGACCACCAGUGGCGAAGGCGGCUUGCCAGAACGCGCUCGACGGUGAGGGAUGAAAGCUGGGGGAGCAAACCGG